GGCGAGUUACGAUUUGAUGCAAGGUUAAGCAGUAAAUGUGGAGCCGUAGCGAAAGCGAGUCUGAAUAGGGCGUUUAGUAUUUGGUCGUAGACCCGAAACCAGGUGAUCUACCCUUGGUCAGGUUGAAGUUCAGGUAACACUGAAUGGAGGACCGAACCGACUUACGUUGAAAAGUGAGCGGAUGAACUGAGGGUAGCGGAGAAAUUCCAAUCGAACCUGGAGAUAGCUGGUUCUCUCCGAAAUAGCUUUAGGGCUAGCCUCAAGUGAUGAUUAUUGGAGGUAGAGCACUGUUUGGACGAGGGGCCCCUCUCGGGUUACCGAAUUCAGACAAACUCCGAAUGCCAAUUAAUUUAACUUGGGAGUCAGAACAUGGGUGAUAAGGUCCGUGUUC
rnacentral:rRNA from 1 species